rnacentral:rRNA from 1 species
UGGGGAAUAUUGCACAAUGGGGGAAACCCUGAUGCAGCGACGCCGCGUGAACGAAGAAUGUAUUCGUAUCUUACAGUUCUGUCCUAUGGGAAGAUAAUGACAGUACCAUAGAAGAAAGCUCCGGCUAAAUACGUGCCAUCAGCCGCCGUAAUACGUAUGGAGCGAGCGUUGUCCGGAAUUAUUGGGCGUAAAGGGUACGCAGACUGUUUAAUAAGUCGAAUGUUAAAGAUCGGGGCUCAACCCCGUAAAGCAUUGGAAACUGAUAAACUUGAGUAGUGGAGAGGAAAGUGGAAUUCCUAGUGUAGUGGUGAAAUACGUAGAUAUUAGGAGGAAUACCAGUAGCGAAGGCGACGUUCUGGACACAAACUGACGAUGAGGUACGAAAGCGUGGGGAGCAAACAGG